UGAAAAGGGAUCUGCUAAGGGAUGGC
rnacentral:piRNA from 1 species